rnacentral:rRNA from 1 species
GCACAAGCAGCGGAGCAUGUGGUUUAAUUCGAAGCAACGCGGAGAACCUUACCAGGUCUUGACAUCCCUCUGAAUGGCGCUUAGCAGCGCAGGUCUUUCGGGACAGAGGAGACAGGUGGUGCAUGGUUGUCGUCAGCUCGUGUCGUGAGAUGUUGGGUUAAGUCCCGCAACGAGCGCAACCCUUGCCUUUAGUUGCCAGCACGUAAAGGUGGGCACUCUAGAGGGACUGCCGGUGACAAACCGGAGGAAGGUGGGAUGACGUCAAAUCAUCAUGCCCCUUAUGAUCUGGGCUACACACGUGCUACAAUGGCCGGUACAACGAGAAGCGAAACCGCGAGGUGAAGCAAAUCUUUUAAAGCCGGUCCCAGUUCGGAUUGCAGGCUGAAACUCGCCUGCAUGAAGUUGGAGUUGCUAGUAAUCGCGGAUCAGCAUGCCGUGGUGAAUGCGUUCCCGGGUCUU